AAAUAUAAUUUUUAUUACUUAAUUUUAAUUUUUUUUAUUGUAUUUAAAAUAUUAAUUUUUUUUAGUAUUUAAUUGAAUAAAUUAUUUUUAUGAUAGUAAAUAGUAUUGUGAAAGAUUAUUUUAAUUUUUAGAUAGAAAAAUUUAUUUUUUGUACCUUGUGUGUCAGGGUUUAUUAAUUUAAGAUUUAAUAUUAAAUUUUCUCGAAUUUAAAAGAGUUAAGAAAUAGAAGAUUUUAUUGUAAAAUAAAUAUAUUUAAUUUUUUUUUAGUAAUGAAAUGUUAUUCGUUUUUAUAUAUAUCUAGUUUUUAAAGAAAAUAGUUUAAUUUUAUUAUUAGAAAUAUGAUUUUAAGUUAUUAUUAUUAUAUUAUUAAUAUUAAAUAUUUUUAGGGAUAAGCUUAAAAAUAGAAUAUUAUAUUGAAUUUAUAAUUAAUAAAGUUUAAGAUUAGUAAUUUUUAUAAUAUAAGUAUGUUAUAAUUUAUUUUAUUUUUUAUUUAAUUUUUAUAUUUAUUUAAUUUUUAUAUUUAAAAUUAAUAUUUAUUUUUAUAAUAUUAGUUAUAAUGAUAGAAUUAGUAUAAUUUAAUUUUUAAGUAAUUUAUAUUUAUUAAGUUGGUAUCAGGAAUUUGGCAAAUAAUUUUUCACCUGUUUAUUAAAAACAUGUCUUUUUGGAUUAUAUAUAAAGUCUAGCCUGCCCACUGAUAUUUUAAAUGGCCGCAGUAAAUUGACUGUGCUAAGGUAGCAUAAUCAUUAGUUUUUUAAUUGAAAGCUGGAAUGAAGGGUUGGAUGAAAAAAUAGCUGUCUUUAAUUGAUUAUUUUAUAAUUUUAUAUUUAAGUUAAAAAGCUUAAAUGUUUUUAAAAGACGAGAAGACCCUAUAGAGUUUAAUAUUUUUAUUAUUAUUUAAUUAUAUAAUAUAAUUAUUUAAUUGGGGUGAUUAAAAAAUAUAGUUAACUUUUUUUUUAUUUUAAUAUAGAUUAAUAGUUAUAUGAUCCAAUUAUUUUGAUUAAAAGAAUAAAUUACCUUAGGGAUAACAGCGUAAUUUUAUUUUAAAGUUCUAAUUAAAAAUAGAGAUUGCGACCUCGAUGUUGGAUUAAAAUUUAGCUUAGGUGUAGUAGCUUAAGGAUUUAAGUCUGUUCGACUUUUAAAAUUUUACAUGAUCUGAGUUUAAACCGGUGUGAGCCAGGUUGGUUUCUAUCUUUAAAUUAUUAAUUUAAUUUAGUACGAAAGGACCAAUUAUUUAUAA
rnacentral:rRNA from 1 species